rnacentral:rRNA from 1 species
UACAGAGGUCUCAAGCGUUGUUCGGAUUCAUUGGGCGUAAAGGGUGCGUAGGCGGCGCGGUAAGUCGGGUGUGAAAUCUCGGAGCUUAACUCAGAACGGCCAAGUGAUACUGCAGUGCUAGAGUGUGGAAGGGGCAAUCGGAAUUCUUGGUGUAGCGGUGAAAUGCGCAGAUAUCGGGAGGAACACCAAUGGCGAAGGCAGCUCGCUGGGACGGUACUGACGCUGAGGCGCGAAAGCGUGGGGAGCAAACAGG